rnacentral:misc_RNA from 1 species
ACGGUUACGAUUACCCCAAGAGUGCCCAAGGGAGAGGAAGGAGGUGUCAAACGCAUGCUGAGCCCCACUUCGGUAGUUUGGCACCUGUACCAUAGGCAUUCAGGCAAGCGUGCCUAUGGGAAAAGUCGGUUGAGCUUGCCAGCCAUGUUGGGAAUCGGCUGGACGAGAUGAUUGCACAAGGAUGCUUGCUUUAAGGUAACGUUCCGGCAGCACAGCCAGCCCGCAAUUGCUAGUUCAAGCGGGUGGAAUCUGCCUAUAGGGGUGUUGCUUGCU